rnacentral:rRNA from 1 species
GACGAACGCUGGCGGCGUGCUUAACACAUGCAAGUCGAACGGUAAGGCCCUUCGGGGUACACGAGUGGCGAACGGGUGAGUAACACGUGGGUGAUCUGCCCUGCACUUCGGGAUAAGCCUGGGAAACUGGGUCUAAUACCGGAUAGGACCCUGGGAUGCAUGUCCUGGGGUGGAAAGCUUUUGCGGUGUGGGAUGGGCCCGCGGCCUAUCAGCUUGUUGGUGGGGGAAUGGCCUACCACGGCGACGACGGGUAGCCGGCAUGAGAGGGUGACCGGCCACACUGGGACUGGGAUACGGCCCAGACUCCUACGGGAGGCAGCAGUGGGGAAUAUUGCACAAUGGGCGCAAGCCUGAUGCAGCGACGCCGCGUGAGGGAUGACGGCCUUCGGGUUGUAAACCUCUUUCAGUAGGGACGAAGCGCAAGUGACGGUACCUACAGAAGAAGGACCGGCCAACUACGUGCCAGCCGCCGCCGUAA